rnacentral:rRNA from 1 species
UCCGUAGGGUGAACCUGCGGAGGGAUCAUUACAGAGUUCAUGCCCUCCGGGUAGAUCUCCCACCCACUGUUAUCACUACCCUCGUUGCUUUGGCGGGCCGCUGGGCCCUGCCCGGCCGCCGGCCCCGGCUGGCGCGUGCCCGCCAGAGACCUCACAGACUCUGAAUGUUAGUGUCGUCCGAGUAACUAUACAAUCGUUAAAACUUUCAACAACGGAUCUCUUGGUUCUGGCAUCGAUGAAGAACGCAGCGAAAUGCGAUAAGUAAUGCGAAUUGCAGAAUUCAGUGAGUCAUCGAAUCUUUGAACGCACAUUGCGCCCUGUGGUAUUCCGCAGGGCAUGCCUGUUCGAGCGUCAUUUCAACCCUCAAGCCUCGCUUGGUGUUGGGCCCUGCCCGCCGCGGCCGGCCCUAAAGAUAGUGGCGGCGCCGCCUGGCCCUCAGCGUAGUACAGCUCUCGCUCCAGGGUCCGGCGGCAGCCUGCCAGAAUCCCCAACUCUGUGGUUGACCUCGGAUCAGGUAGGGAUACCCGCUGAACUUAAGCAUAUCAAUAAGGCGGGAGGAA